ensembl:lincRNA Gm37233 predicted gene, 37233
GGAGGAGCCUGAGGGUCUGAGCUCGGACUUGGAUAAAGACUCUUUGCUUUUGCAUACGAGUUCGACUUCUGGUGGUCUUUGGGGACCCUAGGAUCUGGGCAUAACAUUUGGGGGCUCAUCCGGGAUCCCCUGAGGCCCCCAGGACCCCCGAGCCGUUGAGUCAGAACCCGGUGGGUAAGUGUCUGAAUGUUUGUGCUCUGCCUCGGUGUCUCAGCGCUCCAAACGAGUAGCCAGCAGGCGGUCCAGGCGUACCGGCGCCACCCGACUUGGGAGAAGUCCCGGACCCGCGAGUAGGGGAUUGGAUCCCCUCGUAGACUUGAAGAGACAAAGAGGGUCGCUCCCGAGGCGGUGCUCUCACUUCUGUUCUUGCCUAAGAUCGCCGCAGGAAGGACUGAGUGCCUUUUUGUCUUUCGCCCAUCUGUUUGCUAUCCGUCUGGACUUAUUUCUUUGUGACUGACUUAGUUCUUUGUGACUGACGCCAUGGGACAGACCCAGACCACUCCUUUUAUCUUUGUUCUUAGACCAUUUCAAAGACUAUAAAACAAGGGCUAGAAGUCGGGGCUUAGUUGUUAAGAAGAGACUAACUGCUUUCUGCAGGAAGGAAUGGCCAACCUUCAACGUUGGCUGCCCGCCAGAGGGGACUUGGAACUUACUCGCGAUUUUUUAGGACCAAGGAUAUCAUUUUUUAGACGACCCGGACACCCAGACCAAGUGCCCUACAUCAUCACCUGGCUGGAUCUGGUCCAGGACCCGCCAAAAUGGCUCAAGCCUUGGCUGCUGCCAAGGCAACCAAGUGCCGCCGUACUCGCCCCAGAAAACCGCGAAGAACCAAAAACAAACUAACCCUAGGGUCUCUCUUUAUCCUGUCUUGCAGGGUAGCACUGAGGAAGACUUCCUCAACCCAGACCCGCCUUAUGAACCCCCAUUAGAGGGUAGCCCAGGCCUUCAACCUGAGGCCCCAGGAGGGGUUCAUGGGUCUCCCUUGGUGAACCCUCCUCACACCCAAUGGAAAGUCCAACAAGAGCUGCCUCAACCACCCGUGGCUGAGUCCACGGUUCUCCCCUUGACGGCAGUAGGUCCCCGGGACGAUGAGGGGAACCAACUGAUGGAAUAUUGUCCCUUAGCCAUUAGACAGCUAUAUAAUUGGAAAUGCAAGUACCCUCAGUUCUCAGAGAAACCAGCUGCGUUGAUUAACUUAAUCGAUUCUGUCAUUUUAACCCACCAGCCCACCUGGGAUGACUGUCAAUUGCUCUUGCAGAUCCUCUUCACUACGGAGUGAGUGUGAGCGAGAGAGGAUUUUAAUUGAGGCCAUAAAAUUGGUUCCAGGAGCAAAUGGGAGCCCUACUACUAAACAAGCUCUUAUUAAUGCAGGCUUUUACGGGACCAGACCAGACUGGAAUUUUAACUUAGCAGAAGGUAAGGAGAGUCUCUGAGUCUACCGCUAGACUCUGAUGAGAGGUCUCAGGGCUGCUGCGCAGAGACCCACUCAUUUGGCCAAGGUACAUAGGGUGCAUCAGGAAAUGGCAGAAUCACCCGCAUUCUUUUUAGAAAGGAUUAUAGAGGCCUAUCGCAUCUACACGUCCCUAGACCCAGCGGCACCUGAGAUUAAGUCAACGGUCAUUAUGUCCUUAGUAGAUCAGGCCGCCCCUGACAUCAAGCACAAAUUGGAGAGAAUAGACAGGCUAGGGGAGAAGAGUUUGCAGGAGUUGCUGGUGGUAGCUGAGAAAGUGGUUGACAACAAAGAAAUACUUACGAAGAAACACUUGCAAGCCUAUGAGGAGCUAGGAAAUCAAAGGUUGGCCACAUUCUGUGUGCCUUUGUUGGCAGAUUCCCCGGAAGAGAAAGACCACCAAUGGAAAAGGUAAGCGGCCCCAACAAAAGAGGAAGCCAAAGCUCAAAAAGAACCAAUGUGCAUACUGUAAGAAGAUGGGACAUUGGGUCAAGGACUGCCCCAAGAAACCUCCAAAGAGGGACAAAGGAGGACAGGGUUCAGACCCCCUCCCUGAGCCCAGAGUAACCCUUAAAGUGGAGGGGAAAUCCAUUAGUUUCUUAGGAGACACAGGGGCACAAUAUUCAGUCCAAGCCCAUGGAAAACUGUCCUCAAAGAAAUCGUCGGAACCUGGGGCCACUGGUAUGAAUCAGGAUGCAUGGAGUACCCAAAAAAGAGUGAAUCUCAGAACGGGCCAGGUAUCCCACUCCUUCAUGACCAUACCAGAUUGUCCUAACCCCUCUUGGGGAGAAAUUUGCCAACCAAGGUAGGAGCUCAGAUUUCUUUUGAUCAAAAAGGGGAUUCUGUCACAGAUUCCAGAGGAUACCCUAGUCACAUACUCCCCCUGCCUCUAGAUGAUGAAUAUAAAUUGGACCAAAGACCAAGCUCUUUCCCGAAUGAGAGCUCAGCUUAGUUAACCAAGUUCCCCUCAGCUUGGGCAGAAACCGAAGGAAUGGGGUUGGCGGACCAUAGGACCCCCAUUCGGGUUGAACUGAAACCAGAGGCAACGCCUGUCCGAAUAAGACAGUACCCAAUCUCCCGUGAAGCCAAAUCAGUUAUCAUACCCCCCCCACAUCAGAAGGUUCAGGACUUGGGCAUACUAGUACCUUGCCAGUCCCCAUGGAACACGCCCCUACACUCCAUCAAGAAGCACAACUCAAAGGACUAUAGACUAGUCCAGAACCUCAAAGAGGUAAACAAAAGAGUUAUGGACAUAUAUUUCACAGUACCAAACACGUAUACCAUCCUGAGUUUGUUAAAACCUUCCCAGACUUGGUAUACAGUAUUGGACCUCAAAGAUGCUGUCUUAAGCCUGCUUUUAGCCCCCUUGAGCCAACCUCUGUUUGCCUUUGAAUGGCACAACCCAGAAGAAGAAUUCAAUGGACAACUAACAUGGACCAGACUGUCACAAGGCUUCAAGAAUUCAACAGUCAUCUUUAACAAGGCUCUACAUGAAGAUCUGGGUGAGUACAGUCGGGAACACCCCAAUACCACCCUCUUGCAAUAUGUAGAUGAUCUCUUAGUGGCAGCAGAGACCAUGGAAGAAUGUCAACGGAGUACUGAGGACCUGCUAAUGGCACUGGGGCAAUUAGGCUACAGGGCAUCAGCUAAGAAGGCUAAAAUCUGCCAACAAGAGGUAACAUACUUGGGAAACAUCCUAAAAGGGGGCCAAUGAUGGCUAUCGGAGGCCCAAAAAGAUACCAUUUUGAAGAUCCCCACACCCACCACAAAACAGAAGGUCAGACAGUUCUUGGGGUCGGCAGGAUUCUGCUGCAUUUGGGUCCCUAAUUUUGCAGAAUUGGCAAAGCCCCUCUAUGAGGCCACCAAAAAAAGGGGGCCCAAUGGACUGAGGCCCAGGAAAGAUCUUUCAAUAGAUUCAAACAGGCCUUAUUGGCAGCCCCCGCAUUAGUACUACCCGACAUCACCAAGCCCUUUCGUCUAUAUAUAGAUGAAAGCAAAGGCAUAGCUAAAGAAGUCCUCACUCACAUGUUAGGAUCCUGGAUUCACCCAGUAGCAUACCUAUCAAAGAAAUUAGUCCCUGUGGCUUCUGGAUGGCCUCCGCGUUUGAGAAUUAUCACUGCCACAGCCUUGCUAGUCAAGGAUGCAGACUUCGAGGCAAGAACUUUGUAUUACCACUCCCCAUGCCAUAGAAAGGAUUCUCAAACAACCCCCAGAUCAAUGGGUGAGCAAUGCACGCAUGACUCACUACCAAAGCCUGCUACUAAACCCUGAGUGUAUCCACUUCCUACCAAGCACUGCCCUGAACCCAGCCUCUCUGCUACCAGACCCAGAUUUGGAGACCCCAGUACAUGAUUGUGUGGGCAUACUAAGCCAGGUGCACAGAGUUGGGAAAGACCUAAUAGCCCGGGCCUCUGCCAAAUGCAGAAGCCACUUGGAUCAUGGACGGUAAAGCUUUGUGCUUGUAUGCAGGGGUGGCAGUGUUAUCAGACUCAGAAACUAUAUGGGCAUCUGCCCUGCCACCCAGCACUUCUACACUAUGGGGCAAACUCAUGGCCCUAACAGAAGCCUUAAAAAUGGAAAAAGGCAAAAUACUCAACAUUUAUACAGCUAGCAGAAAUGCCUUUGCUACAGCCCAUGUCCCUGAGGCCAUUUAUCAGGAGAGAGGACUCAUGACAGCUGAAGGAAAGACUAUUAAAAACAAACAGGAAGCCAGGCAUGGUGGCACACACCUUUAAUCCCAGCACUCGGGAGGCAGAGGCAGGCAGAUUUCUGAGUUCAAGGCCAGCCUGGUCUACAAAGUGAGUUAAAGGACAGCCAGGACUAUACAGAGAAACCCUGUCUUGAAAAACAAAACAAAACAACAACAACAACAACAACAACAACAACAACAACAAAACAGGAGAUCCUAAACCUUUUGGAGGCCUUUUGGCUUCCAAAGAAACUGGCUAUUAUACACUACCCACAGCACCAAAAGGCAAUGAUGCCUGAAGCAAAAGGCAGUCAAUGGGGCAGAUUCGGCAGCCAAGGCAGCAGCUCUCAAUCCUGUGGCAACUUUGACUUUCCAACUGCCUGACCCAGGAGCUCCAAUCCUACCAGAUGAGCCUGAAUACUCCAAAGAGGAUGUUCUCUCUAUUCACAAACUGCCUAUGGCCCAUAAGCCUGAUGGCUGGUGGCUCACCGGGGGCUGCAAAAUAAUCCUGCCCAGCAAUUUGGCAGCCAGUCUGCUCUAGCAUAUACACUGGACAACCCACUUGGGGACCAAGAAAACUGAGGAUCUGGUAGGAAAGGCAGACCUAAUAAUCCUCAACCUCAGGUCCCAGAUCAGACAGAUAGCCUCCAAAUGCUUUAGCUGUAAGCUCACUAAUGCAGAGAAUCAACCAAAGGAUAAAGGAUGCCAAACCGGGUGCUCACUGGGAAAUGGACUUUACUGAGAGAUAAGACCAGGGAAACAUGGUUACAGGUACCUACAGGUCAUGCUUGUAGACACCUUUUCAGGAUGGACUGAAGCCUACCCCACCAGGCAUGAAACAGCACAAAUAGUGAUCAAGAAGAUACCAGAGGAGGUGUUUCCCAGGUAUGGAAUGUCAGCCCUCCCAAGCUCUGACAAGGGACCUGUCUUCUUCACUAAGGUAACAUAGGGGAUGGCUAAAGCCAUUGGAGUGGAUUGGAAACUACAUUGUGCUUAUAGGCGCCCAAGCUCAGGACAGGUAGAGAGGACGAAUAGAACUUUAAAAGAGACCCUUACUAAAUUAAACUUGGAGACUGGUGGAAACUGGAUGGCUCUCCUCCCCUUCGCCCUCUAUAGGGUUCACCACAUACUCUAUACGUUGGAUUUAACCCCUUAUGAAAUCAUGUUUAGAAGACACACACACCCACACACACAUACUUUACCUAACCUAAAAUCUGAAGUGUUAGCUGAAAAUGAUGAUUGCCACUUACUUGACUCUCUUGAACAUCUAGCCUACACCCAAAAGGAGCUCUGGCCUCACCUGAAGGCUGUUUUUGAGGCUGCACCACCUCAUCCUCCCCACUGCUAUUGCUCUGGAGGCUGGGUCUUCCUGUCAAGGCACCAGAAGGGAACCCUAGAACCCUGCUGGGAAGGACCCUAUGUCGUGGUCCUAAGAACAUCCACUGUCCUCAGGAUUGAUGACAUUGCUACCUGAAUACAUCACACAUACCCACAUCUUGCAGACCCACAUCCAAACCCAGUCUACGUCUCCCCAAGGUGACAUAUUGCCUGAGACCAAGAGACUCCAUAAAAACUCAAGCUCCAGUGCUCCUAAGCUUAUUGGCAUGGGCUUCUUGCUUCCAGGAGUUGCCAGCUCUCUCACGGGUUCUAGCCCUCAGCUGCUCUGGAACCUAACCUGGGCUCUGAGAGAUGCAGUCACCAGUGGCAUUUCCCACCAGCAGAGCAUGACUGUGUCCCUUGGCACCUGUUUCGCCGACCUCCACUUCGACCCAACUCACCCACUUGGACUGUCCUGGGCUGAUGGAUUCCUCAGCACAUUUCACCUCUAUGUUUACCCCAGUGCAAAAAUUGGCAACAAGACCCAGCGGUGAUGAUGUGGGGGAGCUGAAUCCUUCUUCUGCUCCUCCUGGGAUUUUGUGAGUAUGGGACACAUUUGGUGGGAUCCCUCUAUCAAGGUGGACUUCAUUUGAGAAUGCUGAAAGACUGAUGACUAAAUCAGCUCUAUGGGCGUUUGGUUCCCUUGCCACCAAACUACGGACACUGGGUGGUGCACCUCCAUCCUCACUAUGUUUAUGGACUUGGGGAAAAAAGGCUAAUGGAUGGGAAUUUAAAAAAAAAAAAAAA